rnacentral:rRNA from 1 species
UACGUAGGGGGCAAGCGUUGUCCGGAAUUACUGGGCGUAAAGCGCGUGUAGGCGGGACGGCAAGUCUGGCGUGAAAGGCUCGGGCUCAACCCGAGAUGGCCGCUGGAAACUGCCGUUCUUGAGGGUCGAAGAGGAGAGUGGAAUUCCUGGUGCAGCGGUGAAAUGCGUAGAGAUCAGGAGGAACACCCAUGGCGAAGGCAGCUCUCUGGUCGAGCUCUGACGCUGAGACGCGAAAGCGUGGGGAGCGAACGGG